CUGAAGUGUGACACGGCUUAUUUCUCACACUGUCUCGUGCAUAAAAAAUGACAACAACACGGGACAACAAGUGCUUCACCGGGUCUACCAGGCACAUUGAAAUAAACUUGCAAAAUGGCUGAGAGCACGCAGUGAGGACGAAUGUCCGAAAUGAAAAUGAUUCCCGUGACAUGUUUGCUGUAUCUCUGCAAACAGUCCGAGAUUCUAGCUGUGUUCAGAGUGCACGGUCAGUGGAGAGGGGCAUAUCGUGUGAUUACAGUGUGUUGCUCUGAGAUCUGUCCGCAGACCACAUAGGCAACCUUUAAGCCAUGGAUCAAAUCCAGCCCUUCGGGGUAUAGAGUAUGCCUAGUUGUGAAUGUGACAGAAGGGGGCGCCUCCCUGCUUGCACGCACGCGCGUGUGCGCUCCAGUGUUUGUCAAGACUGUGUCAUCUGCGCUUGUAGGCAAAUGUUCGGAUUUUCACGUAUAAUUGUGAGGUGUUUGUGUAUGUAUGCAUGCGGGUUCGCUCCUUGCCCGCUUGUGCGUAAAAGCGUGCAUCUACCAACGUAACUUACGCGUGUGUGCGUGCGCCGCUGGCCGAGGGAGAGAGGUGAUUGUGAAAAAGCCCCGAUCGCUGUGUAAGCGGAUCCCUUUGUGUUGAUUUAGGAAGACGUUUGCUGUAUAUAACGUUCAAGGCUGAUAAUAUCAUUGCCUGGCCAGAUAAAUAAAGCAUUGGCCAAAACCAUCGGGUCAGCUAUCGAUCCGCUUUUUCUCCCUGAGAGAGUGGGGGGUGGUGGGUUGAGGAAAAAGAAGGAGAGAAAGGGAGAGAGAAAGGGAGAGAGACCUCACUCAUUAGCAUUCCACAGCCAUGGACUAAACGCUGACAACUAACAGAGAUAUCCAGCUCUACACCACUGCAUACAUUUCCCCCCUUUGUCUUCUUCCCCUGGCCCUUCAUUUCCAGCGGACAGAUCUCUCGUCACAGCCAACACAUUUUUAUUUAUGCCCUCUCCACUCCUUUUGCACGAAUGGACCCCUUGCACAAGAGAGAAAACCUUCUAGUAAAGCAGAGAAUAAAAGAGGGGGGGUGAUGUUGUAAAAGCUGUGCAGAAGUGACAGCGCUAAGCACACUGGCUUUACUUGAGAGAGAUACAAUUGUGUGUGACUUGACAAAAUAGAAGUGGGAGACGUUUUAAAUUGCAACUUUAACUGCCACGAUUUAGGUAUUUUAGGAUUUUAUUUAUUUAUUUAUUUAAAAUCUAGACACUACGUGCUUUACUGUGAUAUUAUUAUUUUUUAUUUCCAUUCCGAUUUUAGCUGGAUGUUUCUCCAUAAUGAUUUAGAUGUUUGGGUUUAAUGUGGGACCACUUUUUUCAGCCUUAAAACGUCUGUAAAACAGUUUUCUGUGAAGGUUGUUAUUUACGACUGCUCCAUGAUGUGUGGAUAAAAUUAACAUGAAGGAAGAGAAACAAAUGAAAAAUAGGCGAAGGUUGAAAAGUUGUGCUGGUUUUUAAUUAUAGUAUAGAAAUAAUUUACAAAUAGCUUGGGUUUAAGUUUGACAGAAAUUACAUGUAUUUAUUAACGAGUAAAUUCAAACCAAAUAUUUCACAUUCAAAAGGUAAUAUGGAAACUGUCAUUGAAACAAUUUGGACAAGUGGGCUUUUUUUUCUUUUUUUCUUUUUUUCACUCCCCAAAUGGCUAUAUCUUAAUAUGGGCUCAAGUCUUGCCCAACAAUGACAGCUGUUCAUCUGAUAGUAACUUCUUUCCAAGUUUUCUCCCCACCCACCCCGGGGCCCCCGGUCUCUGUCUUGCUUUGUUGUUUUAAAAUAUGCAUGUCUCUCCGGAAUGCCAGUCACGGGUCCAAACUUUGUGUGUCCCAACCUCCCACAUGAUGAAAUGAUCCUUUUAAAGCGGGCUCAAUAUGUCUCAAUCUGCACUCCUCUUCCUUCUCUAAAGCUUCUGGGUUCGGGACACAGCCCAGAAAUAUAUUAAUUAAAGCGCACUACUACGGACUUUUUUUAGCACUGAGGAAGAAGUGGUUGGAUCAAGUCAAGCUCUGUCAACGACGGAUGGAUGAAGAUUCAUGGCAGAAAAAGCAAAAGAAGAAAAAAGCGAUCAAUGCCGCAGCACUUUCCAGUUCAUCUUGAACUAGCGGUGAACUCCAGAAUGCCGCCAGCGUCUCCACCCUAUCCCAUCGCAGUUCAGGGUCACCAGGGGGGUGUCUCUGUGCCGAUAUGCAAAUAAGCCCGUGGCCCUUCAGUGACUCUGGCGUUAAGCUCCACCCCUUCUAUAUGGUAGAAGCUUUGAAAUAAAAUCCUCUCCCCCAGACAACCUUCGCACACACACACAGAUAUAAACCCACUCUCAUGUAGACUUAAACAGGCCUUUAAAACUUCCAUCCAUUCCUCCUUUAAUAGCCAAAGCGUGUUGAACCUAAUGGAUGUUGUCAUAGCUGAGAUGUGACCACUGAUUUAGAGGAGGAACCCCAGUGACCAGGCGAAGAGAGGCAGAGAUGAGAGGGAGAAGAAGAAGACAAGCGAGAGUUAUGUCAGCUACACCACAAAUCAAAGUAAUAUCUUUUAAAAAUUGUGGAAAUCGAUGGUGUCAUCUGGCUGUAUCUUGUGGGUAAAGGAAACCCAUAAACAGCCAAUUAGCUGAUAAGCAGACUGUUUUUUUUCCUUUAUGAAGAAGUGAUUUUAUGUAUUGGCAAAACAGCGUACAAUGGACAAAGAGCUCACCCUUUUUAACUGUAACGUGUAUCCUGUAUUUAAACUAAAGUACACUGUGUAGCUGUUUCGUACUUGCGAAACAAUUAAGUUGCAUGUACAGAUUUUAACAAGUUUACAGUAAUGACAUUAGCCUAAUAAAGUUUGUUUUAAAUGCAA